GAGGAUUUCCUUCUACCCUUUGUAGCUCAGAGAGCACUGAUGUAUCAUCUCAAACACAAUAAACAUGCUCCUGAAGGCAUAGUUUCUUGUCAUAAUGUUGAAAGUCUUGUCAGAAGGUGUGUCUGAGAUGAUUGUUGAUGAAAUAAAGACGUGGCUAUGAAGAUUGAUUAUUAAGGACUAGUACAAAUGAAUUAUUAAAUUGAAAACAUUUAAAAAUCCUGUGUGUAGAGUUUUUUCCUUUAAGGAGAGAAUACAGUGGGCUUAAAUAUGAAGCUGGAUUUUAACCAUUGGUCUUAAAAAACAAUAACACACAAAUUCUACAUUGACAGUGUAGCAUUUGAAUUGAAAAUGAAGUCCUGCGUUAUUUAGGACUCUCUCCGUGUCUUAACAGAACAUUUUGUCUCCAAAUUGGUGAUUUCUGUUCAACGCUGGGCAAUAUUGUCAGAUAAUUGCUAUGCUGUGAUUGCUUUUCUAUGGUGCUUUUCCCUUUAUUCCUGAUCUUGAAUUUUUAUGGUGCAUUAUUGCUACUGUGAUACAUAGCCGGCAAGUGUAGCCAGAGGCUCAACAGUCCUGUUUGCCCUGAAGGUAGAAUGUGUGUUAGUGUGCAGGCGUGACACUCUCAGUUGAAGACAAACAAGUUGUAAGAGUUUAGAGGUUAAAUUCCUUCUAAGUGUAACUAAUAGGUAUACUUUUAAGCUUGUAAUUAUUAAGCUUGCUUAAGAGAAUUGUAAUAUAAUUGUACUAUUUUUUUCCCCUGUGCCUGGAAUAAAUUAUCUGUGGUCAAUGUCUUUUCCGGUCCUAAGUAUGGUAAUACAGCACCAUAAUAAAAUUUAUGGAGGUGAAUUAUUAGGAUAAAAGCAAACAUGGCUUUGGGCUGGAGAAUGUUAACUCAGUGGUAGAAGCUAGUUCGGCAUCUCCAGCACCAUGUACGCAGAGAUAAAGAUUUCUUCAGGAAAGUGAAUCUUAUAGUUAGGUAGACUACUACCAUAGGGGGCUUCUGUUCAAGUAUUUGGUGAUAGAAAUCUAAAUUAUAGGAAGGCUUAAAUUUAGCAGUUGUCUAUUUUUCCUGCAAGUUCUAUACACACACAAACACACACACACACACACACACACACACUACCCUUUUAUAAGGGAACAGCUAACAUAUUUAGAAGAUUUAAGCUGUAUCUUUGAAAACUGAGUCUUAUUUUAUGGAGAAAUUAAAAAUCCACAGUUCAAGUCAAUGUGAUGAGGGUGGAGGUUUUAUAUGAAAGUGAACCAUGGUGAGUUGUAGAAAGGACUGCUUGCCAUCACUGAAAUGAGCCAUUCUAUACCCUAAAGUUGAGUUUCUCUUGGUGCUGGAAGGUUCUUAUUCUGAAUACUGGGCUGUUGCAUUGCCAAUCCAGCUGUAGCUUGUAAGUAUGAAAGUGGCUGAGCCUCUGCAUAUCCCACCAGACCUGUGGUAUGCUAAUGACCGUGCCACAAACCUUCUGAGGAACUGGGCAGUGUACAAAAUGAUGGUGACUAUACAUGUUGCCUGUAACUAUUACCUGUAAAAGAAUUAUUCAUGGAUUAAUUGCAACUCCUCCAAUUAGAUAAAGAAUAUUUUAGUAGAUCUUUAAGAAUCUAUUUUAGUUUCAGAUUUAUUUCUGAUGAAUAUUGGGUAGUUUAUUAAUAUUUGUCACAGGAACACUUAGCAUAGUCCCCCUUGUUUAAACACUUGAAAUGAGACAAAUGAUACU
rnacentral:lncRNA from 1 species